rnacentral:rRNA from 1 species
GACGAACGCUGGCGGCGUGCUUAACACAUGCAAGUCGAACGAUGAACUUGGAGCUUGCUCUGGGGGAUUAGUGGCGAACGGGUGAGUAACACGUGAGUAACCUGCCCUGGACUCUGGGAUAACUUCGAGAAAUCGGAGCUAAUACCGGAUAGGACCUUGCACCGCAUGGUGUGGGGUGGAAAGUUUUUCGGUUUGGGAUGGACUCGCGGCCUAUCAGCUUGUUGGUGAGGUAAUGGCUCACCAAGGCGUCGACGGGUAGCCGGCCUGAGAGGGGGACCGGCCACACUGGGACUGAGACACGGCCCAGACUACUACGGGAGGGCGCAGUGGGGAAUAUUGCACAAUGGGCGCAAGCCUGAUGCAGCAACGCCGCGUGCGGGAUGACGGACUUCGGGUUGUAAACCGCUUUUAGUAGGGAAGAAGCCUUCGGGUGACGGUACCUGCAGAAAAAGGACCGGCUAACUACGUGCCAGCCGCCGCCGUAAAAC